rnacentral:tRNA from 1 species
GGGCGUUUGGCACAGUGGUAGCGCGCACGCUUUGCAUUCAAGAUUGCGUGAGGUCGAGGGUUCAAGCCCCCCAACGUCCA